rnacentral:rRNA from 1 species
AGAGUUUGAUCCUGGCUCAGAACGAACGCUGGCGGCGUGCUUAACACAUGCAAGUCGAGUGCGCGUACCGUAGCAAUACGGUAUGGCGCACGGCGCACGGGUGCGUAACACGUGGGCAAUCUGCCCUUCGAUGGGGAAUAACUUCGGGAAACCGAAGCUAAUUCCGCAUAACAUUCCUUGGAUUUCGGUUCGAGGACUCAAAGCCGUAAGGCGUCGAAGGAGGAGCCCGCGCCCGAUUAGCUAGUUGGUGAGGUAAUGGCUCACCAAGGCAAUGAUCGGUAGCUGGUCUGAGAGGAUGGCCAGCCACACUGGAACUGAGACACGGUCCAGACUCCUACGGGAGGCAGCAGUGGGGAAUCUUGCGCAAUGGGCGAAAGCCUGACGCAGCGACGCCGCGUGGGGGAUGAAGCAUUUCGGUGUGUAAACCCCUUUCGACUGGGACGAAUGCCUCGCAAGAGGAGUGACGGUACCAGUAGAAGAAGCCCCGGCUAACUACGUGCCAGCAGCCGCGGUAAGACGUAGGGGGCCAGCGUUGUUCGGAAUUACUGGGUGUAAAGGGUUCGUAGGCGGUGCGGCAAGUUGGGAGUGAAAUCUCUGGGCUUAACCCAGAGGCUGCUUCCAAAACUGCUGUGCUUGAGUGUGGGAGAGGCGCGUGGAAUUGCAGGUGUAGCGGUGAAAUGCGUAGAUAUCUGCAGGAACACCCGUGGCGAAGCGGCGCGCUGGACCACAACUGACGCUGAGGAACGAAAGCUAGGGGAGCAAACAGGAUUAG